GGGUUGUGAGGUUAAGCGACUAAGCGUACACGGUGGAUGCCCUGGCAGUCAGAGGCGAUGAAGGACGUGCUAAUCUGCGAUAAGCGUCGGUAAGGUGAUAUGAACCGUUAUAACCGGCGAUUUCCGAAUGGGGAAACCCAGUGUGAUUCGUCACACUAUCAUUAACUGAAUCCAUAGGUUAAUGAGGCGAACCGGGGGAACUGAAACAUCUAAGUACCCCGAGGAAAAGAAAUCAACCGAGAUUCCCCCAGUAGCGGCGAGCGAACGGGGAGCAGCCCAGAGCCUGAAUCAGUGUGUGUGUUAGUGGAAGCGUCUGGAAAGGCGCGCGAUACAGGGUGACAGCCCCGUACACAAAAAUGCACAUGCUGUGAGCUCGAUGAGUAGGGCGGGACACGUGGUAUCCUGUCUGAAUAUGGGGGGACCAUCCUCCAAGGCUAAAUACUCCUGACUGACCGAUAGUGAACCAGUACCGUGAGGGAAAGGCGAAAAGAACCCCGGCGAGGGGAGUGAAAAAGAACCUGAAACCGUGUACGUACAAGCAGUGGGAGCACGCUUAGGCGUGUGACUGCGUACCUUUUGUAUAAUGGGUCAGCGACUUAUAUUCUGUAGCAAGGUUAACCGAAUAGGGGAGCCGAAGGGAAACCGAGUCUUAACUGGGCGUUAAGUUGCAGGGUAUAGACCCGAAACCCGGUGAUCUAGCCAUGGGCAGGUUGAAGGUUGGGUAACACUAACUGGAGGACCGAACCGACUAAUGUUGAAAAAUUAGCGGAUGACUUGUGGCUGGGGGUGAAAGGCCAAUCAAACCGGGAGAUAGCUGGUUCUCCCCGAAAGCUAUUUAGGUAGCGCCUCGUGAAUUCAUCUCCGGGGGUAGAGCACUGUUUCGGCAAGGGGGUCAUCCCGACUUACCAACCCGAUGCAAACUGCGAAUAUCGGAGAAUGUUAUCACGGGAGACACACGGCGGGUGCUAACGUCCGUCGUGAAGAGGGAAACAACCCAGACCGCCAGCUAAGGUCCCAAAGUCAUGGUUAAGUGGGAAACGAUGUGGGAAGGCCCAGACAGCCAGGAUGUUGGCUUAGAAGCAGCCAUCAUUUAAAGAAAGCGUAAUAGCUCACUGGUCGAGUCGGCCUGCGCGGAAGAUGUAACGGGGCUAAACCAUGCACCGAAGCUGCGGCAGCGACACUGUGUGUUGUUGGGUAGGGGAGCGUUCUGUAAGCCUGCGAAGGUGUGCUGUGAGGCAUGCUGGAGGUAUCAGAAGUGCGAAUGCUGACAUAAGUAACGAUAAAGCGGGUGAAAAGCCCGCUCGCCGGAAGACCAAGGGUUCCUGUCCAACGUUAAUCGGGGCAGGGUGAGUCGACCCCUAAGGCGAGGCCGAAAGGCGUAGUCGAUGGGAAACAGGUUAAUAUUCCUGUACUUGGUGUUACUGCGAAGGGGGGACGGAGAAGGCUAUGUUGGCCGGGCGACGGUUGUCCCGGUUUAAGCGUGUAGGCUGGUUUUCCAGGCAAAUCCGGAAAAUCAAGGCUGAGGCGUGAUGACGAGGCACUACGGUGCUGAAGCAACAAAUGCCCUGCUUCCAGGAAAAGCCUCUAAGCAUCAGGUAACAUCAAAUCGUACCCCAAACCGACACAGGUGGUCAGGUAGAGAAUACCAAGGCGCUUGAGAGAACUCGGGUGAAGGAACUAGGCAAAAUGGUGCCGUAACUUCGGGAGAAGGCACGCUGAUACGUAGGUGAAGUCCCUCGCGGAUGGAGCUGAAAUCAGUCGAAGAUACCAGCUGGCUGCAACUGUUUAUUAAAAACACAGCACUGUGCAAACACGAAAGUGGACGUAUACGGUGUGACGCCUGCCCGGUGCCGGAAGGUUAAUUGAUGGGGUCAGCGCAAGCGAAGCUCUUGAUCGAAGCCCCGGUAAACGGCGGCCGUAACUAUAACGGUCCUAAGGUAGCGAAAUUCCUUGUCGGGUAAGUUCCGACCUGCACGAAUGGCGUAAUGAUGGCCAGGCUGUCUCCACCCGAGACUCAGUGAAAUUGAACUCGCUGUGAAGAUGCAGUGUACCCGCGGCAAGACGGAAAGACCCCGUGAACCUUUACUAUAGCUUGACACUGAACAUUGAGCCUUGAUGUGUAGGAUAGGUGGGAGGCUUUGAAGUGUGGACGCCAGUCUGCAUGGAGCCGACCUUGAAAUACCACCCUUUAAUGUUUGAUGUUCUAACGUUGACCCGUAAUCCGGGUUGCGGACAGUGUCUGGUGGGUAGUUUGACUGGGGCGGUCUCCUCCUAAAGAGUAACGGAGGAGCACGAAGGUUGGCUAAUCCUGGUCGGACAUCAGGAGGUUAGUGCAAUGGCAUAAGCCAGCUUGACUGCGAGCGUGACGGCGCGAGCAGGUGCGAAAGCAGGUCAUAGUGAUCCGGUGGUUCUGAAUGGAAGGGCCAUCGCUCAACGGAUAAAAGGUACUCCGGGGAUAACAGGCUGAUACCGCCCAAGAGUUCAUAUCGACGGCGGUGUUUGGCACCUCGAUGUCGGCUCAUCACAUCCUGGGGCUGAAGUAGGUCCCAAGGGUAUGGCUGUUCGCCAUUUAAAGUGGUACGCGAGCUGGGUUUAGAACGUCGUGAGACAGUUCGGUCCCUAUCUGCCGUGGGCGCUGGAGAACUGAGGGGGGCUGCUCCUAGUACGAGAGGACCGGAGUGGACGCAUCACUGGUGUUCGGGUUGUCAUGCCAAUGGCACUGCCCGGUAGCUAAAUGCGGAAGAGAUAAGUGCUGAAAGCAUCUAAGCACGAAACUUGCCCCGAGAUGAGUUCUCCCUGACUCCUUGAGAGUCCUGAAGGAACGUUGAAGACGACGACGUUGAUAGGCCGGGUGUGUAAGCGCAGCGAUGCGUUGAGCUAACCGGUACUAAUGAACCGUGAGGCUUAACCUUACAACGCCGAAGGUGUUU
rnacentral:rRNA from 1 species